rnacentral:rRNA from 1 species
CGAGUCAUUGUAGCAAUACAAGGCAUACGGCUCAGUAACGCGUAGUCAACCUAACCUAUGGACGGGAAUAACCUCGGGAAACUGAGAAUAAUGCCCGAUAGAACAUUAUACCUGGAAUGGUUUAUGUUCCAAAUGAUUUAUCGCCGUAGGAUGGGACUGCGGCCUAUCAGUUUGUUGGUGAGGUAAUGGCCCACCAAGACUAUUACAGGUACGGGCUCUGAGAGGAGUAGCCCGGAGAUGGGUACUGAGACACGGACCCAGGCCCUAUGGGGCGCAGCAGGCGAGAAAACUUUGCAAUGUGCGAAAGCACGACAAGGUUAAUCCGAGUGAUUUCUGCUAAAGAAAUCUUUUGUUAGUCCUAGAAACACUAACGAAUAAGGGGUGGGCAAGUUCUGGUGUCAGCCGCCGCGGUAAAACCAGCACCUCAAGUGGUCAGGAUGAUUAUUGGGCCUAAAGCAUCCGUAGCCGGCUCUGUAAGUUUUCGGUUAAAUCUGUACGCUUAACGUACAGGCCGCCGGGAAUACUGCAAAGCUAGGGAGUGGGAGAAGUAGACGGUACUCGGUAGGAAGUGGUAAAAUGCUUUGAUCUAUCGAUGACCACCUGUGGCGAAGGCGGUCUACUAGAACACGUCCGACGGUGAGGGAUGAAAGCUGGGGGAGCAAACCGGAUUAGAUACCCGGGUAGUCCCAGCUGUAAACUAUGCAAACUCAGUGAUGCAUUGGCUUGUGGCCAAUGCAGUGCUGCAGGGAAGCCGUUAAGUUUGCCGCCUGGGAAGUACGUACGCAAGUAUGAAACUUAAAGGAAUUGGCGGGGGAGCACCACAAGGGGUGAAGCCUGCGGUUCAAUUGGAUUCAACGCCGGG